GGUUAAAACUCAAAUGAAUUGACGGGGGCCCGCACAAGCGGUGGAGCAUGUGGUUUAAUUCGAUGCAACGCGAAGAACCUUACCUACUCUUGACAUCCUGCGAAUUUGGUAGAGAUACCUUAGUGCCUUCGGGAACGCAGAGACAGGUGCUGCAUGGCUGUCGUCAGCUCGUGUUGUGAAAUGUUGGGUUAAGUCCCGUAACGAGCGCAACCCUUGUCCUUAUUUGCCAGCGCGUAAUGGCGGGAACUCUAAGGAGACUGCCGGUGACAAACCGGAGGAAGGUGGGGACGACGUCAAGUCAUCAUGGCCCUUACGAGUAGGGCUACACACGUGCUACAAUGGUCGGUACAAAGGGUUGCCAACUCGCGAGAGUGAGCCAAUCCCGAAAAGCCGAUCUCAGUCCGGAUCGGAGUCUGCAACUCGACUCCGUGAAGUCGGAAUCGCUAGUAAUCGUGGAUCAGAAUGCCACGGUGAAUACGUUCCCGGGCCUUGUACACACCGCCCGUCACACCA
rnacentral:rRNA from 2 species